rnacentral:rRNA from 1 species
UAAUACGUAGGGUGCAAGCGUUAAUCGGAAUUACUGGGCGUAAAGCGUGCGCAGGCGGUUGUGCAAGACAGAUGUGAAAUCCCCGGGCUCAACCUGGGAACUGCAUUUGUGACUGCACAGCUUGAGUGCGGCAGAGGGGGAUGGAAUUCCGCGUGUAGCAGUGAAAUGCGUAGAUAUGCGGAGGAACACCGAUGGCGAAGGCAAUCCCCUGGGCCUGCACUGACGCUCAUGCACGAAAGCGUGGGGAGCAAACAG